rnacentral:rRNA from 1 species
GAUGAACGCUGGCGGCGUGCUUAAUACAUGCAAGUCGAACGAAGGUUGUAGCAAUACAUCCUUAGUGGCGAACGGGUGAGUAACGCGUUGGUGACCUGCCCCGAAGUGCGGGAUAACAGUCCGAAAGGAUUGCUAAUACCGCAUGGUUUCAUUUGGAUUAGAUGCCAGAUGAGCAAAGGCGAAAGUCGCUUCGGGAGGGGCUUGCGUCCCAUCAGCUAGUUGGUAGGGUAAUGGCCUACCAAGGCAAUGACGGGUAGGGGACCUGAGAGGGUGGCCCCCCACAAUGGAACUGAAACACGGUCCAUACACCUACGGGUGGCAGCAGUAGGGAAUAUUGGUUAAUGUGCGAAAGCGCGAACCAGCAACGCCGCGUGCACGAUGAAGGCCUUCGGGUUGUAAAGUGCUUUUUGAGGGGAUGAGGAAGGACAGUACCCUCAGAAUAAGUCUCGGCCAACUACGUG